AGUGAGAGACAUCUAUAACUGAAAUCGGCAAUUAGUUGCUAACCCAAUAGUUACAUCAACAAGUGGAACACAGUGUGAAAAUAUUCUAAAUUUCUUCUAAUGUCUUUACGAUUUUGUAUUUUACCUAGUCAUUUUUGUCAAACAGUGCAUAAAAUCCGCAGUCUAGUUACGACCGUGAACAAUAAAAAAAGGGAGGCUGCAAUGAUCAUCGCUGCUUGCUUCGCGUUUAAAGAAUUGCCCACUCGGUAACCUCGCGGCAGCUUAUUAACACCUGACAUCAUGAAUGGUAGUGCAAAAAAGAUCUGGUUUAACGAUCCAGCAUUUCGAUCGACAGAUAUUGCGCUGAUUCACUGGCGGGAAUUAUGCGGAAGAGAAAUUGGUUUUCGCCGCGGACACGGAACAAGAAUGUCUGCUCGAUAAUCGUGUUCGACGAGCGCCGCAAUAGACAAGAUUAUUUGAAUGAAACAUAUCGGCUGAGCAUUGUGCAACGGCGAGUGGCGCGGGUACUCUUCCGAUUCGUCAUCAUCUCCACAACGCCGUUCGAAUCUACGCAUCCCCGAAACAACAGAUUUCCCUUUCGCAACUGGUACACACCAUGU